rnacentral:sRNA from 1 species
GCCAGGCAAGGUGGUGCAUGUCUGUAAUCCCAUCUACCCAGGAGGCUGAGGAAGGAGGAUUGCAAGUUAGAAGCUAGCUUGGGCAACUUAGUGAGAUCUUUUCUUAA